rnacentral:rRNA from 1 species
CCUACGGGAGGCAGCAGUGGGGAAUAUUGCACAAUGGGCGCGAGCCUGAACCAGCCCAGUAGCGUGAAGGAUGACUGCCCUACGGGUUGUAAACUUCUUUUAUAAAGGAAUAAAGUGAGGCACGUGUGCCUUUUUGUAUGUACUUUAUGAAUAAGGAUAGGCUAACUCCGUGCCAGCAGCCGCGGUAAUACGGAGGAUCCGAGCGUUAUCCGGAUUUAUUGGGUUUAACGGGAGCGUAGAUGGGUUGUUAAGUCAGUUGUGAAAGUUUGCGGCUCAACCGUAAAAUUGCAAUUGAUACUGGCAGCCUUGAGUACAGUGGAGGUAGGCGGAAUUCGUGGUGUAGCGGUGAAAUGCUUAGAUAUCACGAAGAACUCCGAUUGCGAAGGCAGCUUACUAAACUGCCACUGACAUUGAUGCUCGAAAGUGUGGGUAUCAAACAGGAUUAGAUACCCUAGUAGUC